rnacentral:rRNA from 1 species
AACGAACGUUGGCGGCAUGGAUUAGGCAUGCAAGUCGGGGGUGCCAGCAAUGGCAACCGGCGUAAGGGGCAGUAAGGCGUGGGUACCUACCCCGGGGUCCGGGAUAGCCUUCAGAGAUGGAGGGUAAUACCGGAUGACCUCGGGAGAGCAAAGAUUCAUCGCCCCGGGAGGGGCCCACGUGAUAUUAGCUAGUUGGCGGGGUAACGGCCCACCAAGGCUUAGAUGUCUAGCGGGUGUGAGAGCACGACCCGCGCCACUCGCACUGAGACACUGGCGAGACACCUACGGGUGGCUGCAGUCGAGGAUCUUCGGCAAUGGGGGCAACCCUGACCGAGCGAUGCCGCGUGCGCGAUGAAGGCCUUCGGGUUGUAAAGCGCUGUCGAGGGGGAGAAAGCCGAAAGGCGGAUCUAUCCCUGGAGGAAGCUCGGGCUAAGUUCGUGCCAGCCGCCGCCGUAACAC